rfam:Canis lupus familiaris chromosome X, whole genome shotgun sequence.
GGGGGGAGCACUGGAUCUUGGGCUGUGUCCCGGCGUCCUGUGCUUCCGGGCCUGUGCUGUUGGAAUGGAGCUCCCCCCGCGCAGCCCCUU